UGUCAAGUUCCGCGCAAGUUUCUAAAAAAAUAGAAUUUCCCCCUACAAAUAAUUUAUUCCGUAAUAGAACCCUCAGCUUCAGAUGCAACAAACAGGAACUCAGUUGCAAUAAUUCUUUUAAAAGCACCACUUCAUAAGCCUUCAACAACUCGCAUGAUGCCGCACACGAAUAACAAACUACAACAUAUUGCAACGAAUCGUCGUUUCCCAAAGUCUGCUGAACUCGCGACCCGAGUCAUAUGGAAUUCAUAUGAUAAUGUGGAAUCUACAACACCAUGUGACUCCAUUUAUGUACAAGCUUCGAGUGUCCAGAUUCUGCAAUUGUAAGAAAUGUGAAAAGGAAAAUGUACUUUGCCAUGCCAUUGAAUCUAUCGGUAAAGUUCUGCUACUGGUGCUGGUUAUAGGGAACCGAAUUGCUAUAACUUGAUGGAUUUUAUAGUCAACUAAAUAAUACCUUUCAUUCAUAAUCCGUUCAUUGGUUUGAUCUACCAUUCUACAAAUUCCGGAAACAAGUUCAUCGUAAAUUAAGGCAAUUAUUAUACUUGUCUCCCAAUGAGCCAUCUAUGCAUAUAACAGCAAAAAAUGAAAACCAACAGCCGGUCACCCUUUCUGAGUAUUCCUGCAUGCUACCUACAUAUUUAAAACUGUUUCAUCUAAAGGACCUACAUUUUCUUCGCUAUCAAACUUGGCUCAGAGUUGCCAAGACCUCUGUUCUCUAGGUCAUUUGCAUCAUGCAACUGAACGAAUCAAUUGUUGGACGAAUAGUUUCAAGUCGUGUAGAUUGGUCAAACCACGGUGUGGCCGUUACUAGC